GGAAGAAUAGCUCAGUUGGUUAGAGCCCCCCGUUCAUAACAGGAUUACCGUAGGUUCAAGUCCUACUGUCUCCACCA
rnacentral:tRNA from 1 species